UUGUCUUUUGUCCUUUGCCUGCCUGCUGUGCUUCAUCCUAACAGCAGAAUUUAACAGGAUAUACAGCAAUCUUCUGCUCCAUUUAGGGGAACAGUCCUAAACAUAUGGCUGUCUCUUAAAGGCAUGAGAGAAUAAG